rnacentral:rRNA from 1 species
CGAAUAACCUCGGGAAACUGAGGCUAAUAUGGAAUAGCGUUCAUCGCCUGGAGUGGCACGAACGCGAAACGUUACGGACGCAUAGGAUGUGGCUGCGGCCGAUUAGGUAGACGGUGGGGUAACGGCCCACCGUGCCNAUAAUCGGUACGGGUUGUGAGAGCAAGAGCCCGGAGACGGUAUCUGAGACAAGAUACCGGGCCCUACGGGGCGCAGCAGGCGCGAAACCUUUACACUGCACGAGAGUGCGAUAAGGGGACUCCGAGUGCGAGGGCAUANUNUCCUCGCUUUUCACGACCGUAAGGUGGUCGUAGAAUAAGUGACUGGGCAAGACCGGUGCCAGCCGCCGCGGUAAUACCGGCAGCACGAGUGAUGACCGCUAUUAUUGGGCCUAAAGCGUCCGUAGCUGGCCACGCAAGUCUAUCGGGAAAUCCGCGCGCUUAACGCGCGCGCGUCCGGUGGAAACUGCGUGGCUUGGGACCGGAAGACCAGAGGGGUACGUCCGGGGUAGGAGUGAAAUUCCGUAAUUCUGGACGGACCACCGGUGGCGAAAGCGCCUCUUGAAGACGGAUCCGACGGUGAGGGACGAAAGUUCGGGUCACGAACCGGAUUAGAUACCCGGGUAGUCCGAGCUGUAAACGAUGUCUGCUAGGUGUGGCACAGGCUACAAGCCUGUGCUGUGCCGUAGGGAAGCCGUGAAGCAGACCCCCUGGAAAGUACGUCCGCAAGGAUAAAACUUAAAG